ensembl:lncRNA
CGCGCGCACGUGUGUGUGUGCGCGUGUUUGUGUGUGUGUGUGUGUGUGUGUGUGUGUGUGUGUGUGUGUGUGUGUGUGUGUGUGUGUGUGUGUGUGUGUGUGUGUGUGUGGCAUUAGGCAUACCAGGCAACUGCCUGGGGCCCCGCAAUUGUUUCGCCCCCCCCCGUCAACAAUCGCUCCAUACACCCCCCCCCCCCCCCCUCAACAAUCGCUCCACCGUCAACAAUCCUCUGCCUAGGGCCCCCACACUACCUAGAAUCACCCCUGUGUGUGUGGGUGUGUGUUGUCGUGUAGGCUAUAGAUAUAGACUGAUUGUCUUGGCUUGCAUCCAUGAAAUAUUGUAAUGUUAAUGUUCCGAUUGGCUGUCAGUGUUUUGCCGCUGAAACGCGUCAUAGUAAUUUGCAUAAAGUUCAACAGUUUUGAACUUUUUUUGGACGCUCUGGUCGCUCAACUUUGGCCGCGGGUAGCGUUGGUCGCUUUGGUCGCUUUGGUCGCUCUUGCCCAUAGAAAGUGAAUGACUUCCGGCGAUUUGGUAGCUCAAUUCGCUUCUGGUGUGGACUAGGGCUCCGCGACAUGGACUGAAUCCGAGUGGUUUCACAAAGGCCGUUUUACGUGGGAUUGUAUGCCCCCUGCGGUCGAAGUGAUAAUGGCUACCAAUCACUCUUGUCUACCCUGCACUUUUGUUGCGAUAUCUGGAGACAACUUCUAUUUUCAAGUUAACGACGAUGAAACAGAUUUGCAGUGUGAUUCAUAUCAAAUAGCCACAACAUCCAAGGCCAAGCAUUGGCUCCGAGUCCAAGACAACUGCUUUCUCUCAGUUACUGGAGAACAGUGUCACUUUGUGCAUUUAAACGAGGAGGAAGAAGGACCUGACUGUCAGUUCAUCGUUCAACCGUUCAACGAGACCCCGGACUCCCCCCACUCUGAGGCUAGAGGAAGGGCCGUCACCCUGGCUGUUAGGGAGGAGAGCAAGUACAAGGUGGUGUCCUGUCGGGAGGGCAGCAACGACAUCAAGGUGGAGAUCAUGAAUAAACUUCCAGAGACAGUCGGCGACACUGACUGCUGGUUCUUGUUCUACAUGAAGGACUGUAUUGGGAGGAGUGGGCACUACCUGUUCGUGUCCGCUGCCAAGCCGAAAUUCGCCCUGGCCAUCGAACCGGAACAAGGGACUACCCGAAUAAACAAACUAGUGUUGCGACAAUUAGAUGAUGAGGUGGACGAGGGCUGCCACAUUGCAGUGCCUGAAGUGCGUCGGUCUGUAAAUGCAAAUAAAUAGAUGAUAAAUAAAUGUGAAGUGUUAUUUGUUCCCUAGAAUCCCUUGUACAUUUUGCUAUCGAUGAGCACCUGAUACUUGUUUUUGCCUUGCCUGCGCUAAUUGUUGCCAGCGACUCCACUGACAGAUCACAGUCCAGAUGUGCUUCUUCUUGCCUUGUGCCACAGCGCCACGCGUCCAUAUACAUGGCAAGCGGUCAAGGCUUGGGAAGGCAAUGCUCAUCAUUUGCCUUUGCUUGAUUCCUUGCUCCAAUGUCCUGUUGAUGGCCUUUGCUACCCAUCCACAUAAAACAAGGUGUGCUGUAACCCAGGAGCCAAAAUGUACUUACAUUGAUGGCAAACACCAAGCAGGCCGAGAAGAAUAUUGAGUACUUCAGGAUUCAUUAAUCUAUCACAAGUAGUCAAGAAGCCUACAAGAAUAUGCCGUAAAGCUGAUCGAGUCAAAUCCUCAACUUGUAUUGAUCUAAUAUUUACAAAUGUUUCGGAGCUGUGUUCAAAAGUAAUUUCCAUUCCCAUAGGCUGCAGCGACCACAACCUUAUCGCUAUUGGAAGAAAGACGAAAAUACCCAAGCAGGGUCAGAAAGUUAUUUUCAAACGAAUCUUUAAAAACUUUAAUGAAUAUAACUAGUGUAAUGAAGUAAGAGAGGUUGACUGGUCUGAUGUUAGACAGAAGGAAGACCCUGAUCUUGCUCUGCGUGCGUUUGACAGUUUAUUACUCCCAAUCGUGAAUAAACAAGCUCCUGUCAGGAAGUUAACGGUGCGAAACACACCAUGGGGCCCUAUUUUAACGGUCUGAAACGCAAGUGGGAAGCGCAAAGCGCAAGUAGCUUUGUGGGCGGUUCUACGGCGCUAUCGCUAUUUUACAGGCGGAUAAAUGACACUUGCGUCGCGGCGCAAGUGUCAAAAGGGUUGGUCUGAAGCAGCCUAGUUACCCGUAGGUGUGGUUUGGGCGUAACGUCCAACAAACCAAUGAGAGUGCCAGCUCCCAUCCCCUUUAAGAGCCAUGAGCGCAUUUGAAUCGGACGAGUUGAUAUUUUGACAGCGCGUCGGCAGUCUCCGAUGAGACAGAUGCACAUGAAUUUGAAACUGCAAAUGGCUCAGUUUAUUGCCAAAUAAUAUGGCCUAAUUCACACAUGGAAUAAGGGGUUUUCUUCACCAACUUCAGAAAUACUGAGUCCUCAAAUAAAUUUCGGCAAAGAAACGUAUAUGAUAUAACAUAUGAUAUGCGGUAACUGUGGUUCUAUUUAAUGAUAUACGUGUGGCAAUAUGUAGUUUGUUGUCAUGGUGACUGUCAGCUGUGCGGCAGUCCCAGCCAAUCACGGUGGGAGACUAUCUAUAAAGGCGGGCGUAGAGCGCCUGUCGGCAUCUUGCUUGCCGCAGGCUGGGUCACGUUGCGCCUGGGCGUCCAUUUCCGCUUCCGUGCGGUGACAGGCUCUUGCUUGCCGGAGGCUGGGACACGUAGCUCCUGUGCGUCUAU